AGAUUUGGGAGUGCUACGCAAGAGGAACCGGAACACAGGUGCUGCAUGGCUGUCGUCAGCUCGUGCCGUGAGGUGUCGGUUAAGUCCGACAACGAGCGCAACCCUUGUUGUCAGUUAUACUUUACUGGCGAGACUGCUGGCAUAGUAACCAGAGGAAGUGGGAUGACGUCAAGUCAGUAUGGCCUUUAUGUCCAGGGCUACACACACGCUACAAUGGCCGGUACAGAGGGUAGCCAAGCCGCGAGGCGGAGCCAAUCCCAGAAAGCCGGUCUCAGUUCAGAUUGCAGGCUGCAACCCGCCUGCAUGAAGAUGGAGUUGCUAGUAACCGCAGGCCAGCUAUACUGCGGUGAAUACGUUCCCGGGGCUU
rnacentral:rRNA from 1 species